rnacentral:lncRNA from 1 species
UUAUGGUGUUUCCGCAUUACAACAAGUUUAAGUGAGUAUAAUUAUUAAGAUUCAGUAUCAGUGGUCCAAAUCAUAUGGAUGCAGAAACAUCAAUUAAUCAGCACUCAGAUGUUGUUGGCCAGAUUCAGGCCGAAUUUCCUCUGAAACCCAUUCACAAGGAAAGAGUUAUCUUUGAGAUCAGAUUCACAGAACUAUAAGUACGUUUUGUUACAUACAUAAACAUUUAUCAGAUUAUGUGCUGCAACUUCAUUGUAGAAUUCAAAUUUCCAGUUGAAUCCUGAUUUUUUUCCAGUUCAAUUUUCAUGCCAUCCCUUAGCUAAGUUUUUUUUUAGAAAAAAGGCGGGAGCCUGACUUUAUAGAUAAAGCCACCAGGCAGAGUACAUCACCAUCAACCAGCAUCCCAACAAAGUAACACACCAAGGAAGUUAAAGUAGCAUUACAAAGCGAGCAGCCUCACAUGGCACGCAGGCCAGCCUAAACUAGAGACCAAAAGGGCAGUCAGGAAGCCGUCCUCAAAGAACGCCGAAGAAGGGCAGACGCCGUAGAUUUCAUCUUGGAUAGCAUGGCGUCGAAAGCCUGGAGGUCCCCUUCUUUAGUCAAUAAUCUCCACUGCUGCAAAAAACCAUUGGCUUUAAAUAAGCAGUUGACAGGAUUAGCCGGAAAUAUACGUUCAAUCGAGAACUUAUUCCUAGUAGUCCACAAAGAUCAGCCAAUCGCAGCCCAGCCGACUAAGAAAACCCUUUUUGAAUGGCCAGAAAGAAGAUUGACACAAUGCCUCAGGUCUUCAAAGGAGGAAGGGGACCAAUUUACAUGCAACCAAAGUCUGAUGCAACACCACAUAAGUUUUGCUAAGGAGCAGUGAAAAAAAUAUGAUCGGUGUUCUCCAGUGCCCCACAUAACACACAUCUAUCGGACCCCGACCCGUUUCUUUUCUUAAUCUGGUCGGCCGCCGGAAGCUUACUGCGAACAGCUUGCCAGAGAAAUAUCUUGAUCUUAGGAGGGAUUCGAGCCGACCAAAUAUGCUUGAACUUGACCGGGCGCCCCCCAGGGAUAAGCUUGGAGUAAGCCGAUUUAACCGAAAAGCACCCCGAAGAGGAAAGGGGCCACACCACGGCAUCCUCUUCCUCCGAGAGCAAGGGGAAGCAAGCAGUAAGGCGCUGCCAAUCUUCCAACUCUUCAGGAGAAAGAGAACGACGAAAAUCUAGAACCCAACCCCUAGCCGAGAGCUCAAAGAUAGAAACCUCAGCAUCAUCGCAAUAGGAAAACAGAACCGAAAAAGCAGCAGCCAGCGUGGAGUCCCCGACCCACCAAUCAAGCCAAAACCGAGUGGACUUACCGUUCCUAACUACAAAUUUAACAAGGGACCGAAAAAUCGGUCGGACUUUAACCAGUUGACGCCAAAAUUGCGACCCGCCCGCAGCCGGCGCGAACAUAGGACUCGAGGAAGGGAAAUAUUUAGCUUUUAGGAUAAAGAGCCAGGGUGGCAGUUCCUCAAGAGUCAUAAUCUUCCACCACCAUUUGAUCAAAAGACAAUUGUUCAUAACUCGCGUAUUAAUAAUGCCCAGGGCCCCUUUGGCCUUGGGGCGACAUAUAAUGUCCCAUCUGACCAUCAUGUACUUGCGUUUAUUAUCCGCAGCAUUUCAAUAGAAAGCACCCCUAUGCUUGUCAAAACCAGUAUGUACCCCAUUCGAAAGAAGAUAGAAUCCCAUCAAGAACAUACGGAGCGAAGAAAGACAAGAGUUAGUAAGGGCGACCUUGCCCGCUUGCGUGUUGUAUCGCCCUCGCCAAGGUAGAACUCUGUUGCCAACUUUGGUAACCACCGGGGCGAAAUCUUUAGCCAAAAGUUUAAACGGGGAAAUGGGAAGGCCUAGAUACUUGAGAGGGAAGGACCCAAGAGAACAAUUCAGAAGAUGGGCCACCCGCUGCGCCUCCAGGUCCGAGACCCCAGUCACUACGACCUCACUCUUAGAAAAAUUGAUUCUUGUUUACACAAGUUUAUCUUAUGCAUUAGAUUCUUGUUUCCAUAAUAAAAAAUGGAACAUAAUGGUUUCUUAAAUCUCAAGUGGAAGUUUAACAAGUACAUGUGAGCAGGCAAUCUGAAGAUGACUAUAAUUAGAGCUGUAUAUUUCUUCUGUUUCACAUUAAAUAGUAGGCUGAAUUGUACAAUCUACUGCAACAAAUUUCGGUCUUUAUAUCUUGUAGUGCCAAUUUCAACAAAAACAAACUCUAAUUUCAGCAAGCACAAGAUACUAUAUGAUGGCCAUGUGCAUCUACUCUCUGCUUAAUCUGAUAAAAGAUGCUACCUGUCUGUCGAGUUGAGGUGCUCGCCUUGAAUCCUGAAUAUUUCCUAGUUUUAUUCAUAUGCUGAUGGAAUGCUAGUGGCAAAAUUCGGACGGCUUAUGUUUAGUUAGUGUUUCUGUGUGAAGUUUUCGCUUUGUUCCAUCGUAGUAAUGACAAGUUGGCAAUGCGAAUAUAAUAAUGUAUAAUGUCCCUGAUGAUGCUGCAGGCUUGACUCCUAGCUAAUUAACCAUUAUGGAUGAACUAUGCUUGAUGCUAGUAGCUUUACCAUAUCCACCUUUUAUUUUAUUUCAUUUUUUCAAUAAUGGGCAGGAGCGCGCUGUCAUGCAUUAUAAGUCGAGGGCAAGCUAUGUUCUACUGUCGUCACUUUGUUUUCCGAGUGUCAACCGUGCAAGUUUUUGGAAUCAGAUGAAAUCUCAAGAGCAUGAUGACUUGUACUAAAGUGUACAUGCAAGUGACCCCCGUUGUCUGCCUUGCUUCUUAAUUAUGUUUUGACCAGCGGUAACUUUUAGAGAAGAUCAGAAUAACCAGUAUGCCUUUGGCCGCAGGCAGCAGCACCAUCAUGGAGAGAAUAUGCUCCUCU